GCGUGAAGUUGGAAUUGCUAGUAAUCGCGGAUCAGAAUGCCGCGGUGAAUACGUUCCCGGGCCUUGUACACACCGCCCGUCACACCAUGGAAGUCGGUAAUGCCCGAAGUCAGUAGCCUAACCGCAAGGAGGGCGCUGCCGAAGGCAGGAUUGAUGACUGGGGUGAAGUCGUAACAAGGUAAC
rnacentral:rRNA from 1 species